UACGUAGGGUGCGAGCGUUGCCCGGAUUUAUUGGGCGUAAAGGGCGCGUAGGCGGCCACGCACGUCCGUUGUGAAAUCGCCCGGCUCAACUGGGCGGGGUCGGCGGAUACGGCGUGGCUGGAGCAAGCUAGGGGGCAAUGGAAUUCCCGGUGUAGUGGUGGAAUGCGUAGAUAUCGGGAGGAACACCAGUGGCGAAGGCGGUUGCCUGGAGCUUUGCUGACGCUGAGGCGCGAAAGCGUGGGGAGCGAACGAGG
rnacentral:rRNA from 1 species